GCAAGUGGAGCGACGAACCAGGGCUUGCCCUGGAGCAAAGCCGCGAACGGGUGAGUAACACGUGGGUAACCUACCCCAAUGACUGGGACAACCCGAGGAAACUCGGGCUAAUACCGGAUGUGCUCAGCGUCCAUCAGGACGGUGAGGAAAGGAAGCUUCGGCCUCCGCAUCGGGAGGGGCCCGCGGCCCAUUAGCUAGUUGGUGAGGUAACGGCUCACCAAGGCUGCAAUGGGUAGCUGGUCUGAGAGGACGAUCAGCCACACUGGGACUGAGACACGGCCCAGACUCCUACGGGAGGCAGCAGUGGGGAAUCUUGCGCAAUGCGCGAAAGCGUGACGCAGCAACGCCGCGUGGGGGAAGAAGGCUUUCGGGUCGUAAACCCCUUUCAGUAGGGACGAAGGUGUGGCGGUGAAUAGCCGUCCACACUGACGGUACCUGCAAAAGAAGCCCCGGCUAACUACGUGCCAGCAGCCGCGGUAAUACGUAGGGGGCUAGCGUUGUCCGGAAUUAUUGGGCGUAAAGAGCACGUAGGCGGCCCGGUUAGUCCGCUGUAAAAGUCAAAGGCUCAACCUUUGAAUGCCGGUGGAUACUGCCAGGCUAGAGUCCGGAAGAGGCG
rnacentral:rRNA from 1 species